GGCCGUACAACGUCACCGUAACGUAGUCGUUGAAUGUCUCAAAGAUCCGGAUAUUUCGAUCAGAAAACGUGCAAUGGAGCUCUGCUUUGCUCUGAUGAACCGUACAAAUAUCGCAAUAAUGACGAAAGAAGUGCUCAUUUUCCUCGAGACCGCCGACGCUGAAUUCAAAUCGGAAUGUGCUUCACGAAUGUAUAUUGCAACGGAAAGAUAUUCGCCGAAUCAUGAAUGGCAUUUGGAUACGAUGAUUACUGUACUUAGAUUG
rnacentral:sRNA from 1 species